rnacentral:rRNA from 1 species
UACAGAGGGGGCUAGCGUUAUUCGGAAUUAUUGGGCGUAAAGGGCGCGUAGGCGGCCAUGCGUGUCUUCCGUGAAAUCCCUCGGCUUAACUGAGGACGUGCGGAAGAAACUGCAAGGCUCGAGUCCGGGAGAGGGGGGUGGAAUUCCCAGUGUAGCGGUGAAAUGCGUAGAUAUUGGGAGGAACACCGGUGGCGAAGGCGGCCCCCUGGACCGGAACUGACGCUGAGGCGCGAAAGCUAGGGGAGCAAACGGG